rnacentral:rRNA from 1 species
UACGGGGGGAGCGAACGUUGUUCGGAAUCACUGGGCGUAAAGGGCGUGUAGGCGGUUCGGUAAGUGGAAUGUGAAAUCCCCCGGCUUACCCGGGGAACUGCAUCCCAUACUGCUGGACUUGAGUGCGGGAGAGGAUGGAGGAAUUCCUGGUGUAGCGGUGAAAUGCGUAGAUAUCGGGAGGAACACCUGUGGCGAAAGCGGCGCACUGGACCACAUCUGACGCUGAGGCGCGAAAGCUAGGGGAGCAAACAGG